rnacentral:rRNA from 1 species
GUAAUAGUCCUGUAUGUUAAACGAGAAGACUUCAGAUAUGAUCCAGAGUACCACGGGACACGUGAAACCCUGUGGGAAGCAGGAGGGACCACCCUCCAAGGCUAAAUACUACCUAGUGACCGAUAGCGUAUAGUACCGUGAGGGAAAGGUGAAAAGAACCCCGGGAGGGGAGUGAAAUAGAACCUGAAACCCUGCACUUACAAGCUGUGGAAGCACAUUUCUUGUGUGACCGCGUACUUUUUGUAGAACGGGCCAACGAGUUACGUUAAGUAGCAAGGUUAAGCACUUAAGGUGCGGAGCCGUAGCGAAAGCGAGUUUUAACUGAGCGUUCAGUUACUUGACGUAGACCCGAAACCGGGCGACCUACCCAUGAGCAGGAUGAAGCGAAAGUAAAAUUUCGUGGAGGUCCGAACCCACGAGCGUUGAAAAGCUCGGGGAUGACUUGUGGGUAGCGGUGAAAUUCCAAUCGAGCCCGGAGAUAGCUGGUUCUCCCCGAAAUAGCUUUAGGGCUAGCCUCAAGGUGAGAGAUACGGAGGUAGAGCACUGAAUGUCCUAGGGGGUAUUGCACCUACCGAAGACUAUCAAACUCCGAAUGCCGUCAUCUUAUACUUGGGAGUCAGACUGUGGGUGAUAAGAUUCAUAGUCGAAAGGGCAACAGCCCAGAUCGUCAGCUAAGGUCCCUAAAUGUAAGUUAAGUGGUAAAGGAUGUGGGAUUGCACAGACAACCAGGAUGUUGGCUUAGAAGCAGCCACUCAUUCAAAGAGUGCGUAAUAGCUCACUGGUCGAGUGAUCCUGCGCCGAAGAUUUCCGGGGCUAAAACUU